GACCAGAAUUGCGGUUCCAAUCAAUUCUGCCAGGACAGCCAUGGACUUGUCCCACGUACUGUCUUCCUCCUUCUUCUUUAUCCCUAAGAAAAAGUAAAUGUACAUACACCGACUUCCGAUAAAAGGCACUCGUCCAAUUGUAAGAGACAUCUAUAUCAAAGUAUCUUUAUAUAAGUGAUAAUAAACUCAAGCAUGUUUCGCGAAGUACUUCUAAAUUCGAGAUACCGAUUUUUUAAUGGAAAUGACAUCUCGAGUUGUACACCUUGAUACGAAGAUAUUUUUUUCGGUAUCGGUAUUAGCACAAGAUAUGGGAUACACGAGAGAUUGUGUACGGCACUCUCGUGCCUUUGUGAAAAAGUACGUGCGUUCUCAUCAUCGAUCUCGUAAACGUGCCCCAGCGGCGCUACAUACAUUAAUUAAAAGACAACUAUUGUAUACACAAUCGGAGAGUCCAACGGCGGCGUAUCUUUAUUUUCUGCGCAUUACACAAGCCGAAGAGACAUUUAUUUACUGAAUGUAUAAUCGAGAGAAGUCAAGAAGACGCGACGGUUCAACCCGUUGAGUGCAGCCGUGUAACGACGACGUUUCGUUUCCGAAGCAGAUAAUACACGUAACGACGAUGGUAACAUACACGUACGCAGGGUGCCUUCAGCCUCUCCUUCGCCGACUGUAUUGCACUAUUGGAUCUGAACGUGAUGCCGAUACUUUUGGACUUUCUGGCG